AGCGAACGUUAGCGGCGCGCCUAACACAUGCAAGUCGCACGAGAAAGGGAGCAAUCCCCGGUACAGUGGCGCACGGGUGAGUAACACGUAGAUGACCUUCCCUGGAGUGGUGGAUAACCUGCCGAAAGGCGGGCUAAUACAGCAUGGGACCACAUGGUUUUGACCGAGUGGUGAAAGCGGGCCUCUGUUCACAAGCUCGCGCUCUGGGAUGGGUCUGCGUCCCAUCAGCUAGUUGGUGAGGUAAUGGCUCACCAAGGCAUCGACGGGUAGCUGGUCUGAGAGGAUGACCAGCCACACUGGAACUGAGACACGGUCCAGACUCCUACGGGAGGCAGCAGUGGGGAAUCUUGCGCAAUGGGCGAAAGCCUGACGCAGCGACGCCGCGUGGGUGAUGAAGGCCUUCGG
rnacentral:rRNA from 1 species